rnacentral:rRNA from 1 species
GACGAACGCUGGCGGCGUGCUUAACACAUGCAAGUCGAACGAAGUGGCGAACGGGUGAGUAACGCGUAAUCAACCUGCCCUUCCGAGGGGGACAACAGUUGGAAACGACUGCUAAUACCGCAUACUGAAGGAGGGGAUUGCGUCUGAUUAGCUAGUGGGAGGGGUAACGGCCCACCAAGGCGAUGGUCAGUCGCCUGUCUUGAGGGCUGAACGGCCACAUGGGGACUGGGACACGGCCCAAGCUCCCACGGGAGGCAGCAGUGGGGAAUCCUCCGCAAUGGACGAAAGUCUGACGGAGCAACGCCGCGUGAGUGAUGACGGCCUUCGGGUUGUAAAGCUCUUUUAAUCGGGACGCGGUACCGGAAUAGAAAGCCACGGCUAACUACGUGCCAGCAGCCGCGGUAAUAC